rnacentral:tRNA from 1 species
GGCUGGGUAGCUCAGUUGGUUAGAGCAUUGACCUAAUACCCCAACGUUGUGGGUUCUCUCCCUGGUCA